rnacentral:lncRNA from 1 species
AUCCCGGCGUGCAUCGGGGAGCGCCCAAGGGCGAUGGUUCCCGGCUCCUGGAGAGGCACGCGAAGUUAAACCGGUGCCUUCUUUAGAAUUCCUGAAAUGGCAGGAGAAGGGUGGUGAGAAGAGGAACGGCCAUUCUGCUAUCAUUGAAGUAGUGACCAGAGAACACACUGUCACCAUUAACAAGUGCAUCCAUGGAGUGGACUUGAAGAAGUAUGUUCUUCGGGCACUCAGACCCAGAAGUUUGCCCUGAAGGAGAUGUGAACUCCAGAUGUGCGCAUUGUCACCAGGCUCAACAAAUGUGUCUGGGCUGAGGGAAUAAAGGAAUGUCCCACACCAUAUCUGUGUGUGUUUAUCCAGAAAACAUAGUAAGAAUGAAGGCUGUGUAUAUUGGUUACCUGUGUUCCUGUCAGUACUUAAAAAUAUCUGCAGAUAGUCUUUGUGGAUGAGAACUAACUGCUAAUUGUCAAAUAAAGCUCUAAAGCCCCCCCCACAC